UUUAUUUCUUUUAUUUGUUGUUUCUGAAAUGAAUUAUUACUCGCUUUCAGUUGGUGAAUAAAACAUAAAUUAGGGAACAUAUUUUUAAAGUUAGUUAUAUCUUACUGUGAAAAUAUAUUUUCAGAUGAUAGUCAAAGCAGGCAAAAAUCUGAGUUAUAUAGAUAUGUCCCAAAGGAAGAAAUACAUAUGCAGAUAGGGCAGCGACUUUGUCAACUGUGCUUGGGCAGGGGUUUUGAAACGCUGAGAAGAAUCAGAAGAUUCAUGUCUUUCUGAGAGACCAAUAUGGGUGUUUCCCUCAGUCUGGGAAUGCUGAGGUCUGCAUUUCUAGGAGAUUAGCCUCAAUAGCUUAAGAAAAUUGAAGUUUCAAAUUACAGUUCACCUACCAGAGUUCAGAGGGUUCAUCUGCAAUAAUCUCCCCUGCCCCCACUCAGGCUUCACCUCUAUUAGUCCAAAAUGCAUCGCUUGCUUUUUUUUUUUCUAACCUUUACUGGUAUUGUUAUGUUCUCAGAUAUUUUCUGGGAGGAUUUUCUGCCAUUUUGUUGCUGAUAAUUUUAAUUUGUAAGUACAGACAUGCUUUAUAUUCACCACACAAUGUUUUACUGAGUGACAUUAGAGGACUAAAUCCACCCUUGGAUGUACAUCAACAGCUCUUAUUGAUGCUAAUAAGAGCAAUAUGCGGGCAUAUGGGGACAGAAUGUAACCUUCAAUCAGUUACAGGAUUUUGCAUUUAAAUUUUCCAGUUCUUUUGUCCCAACACACUGCUGUAUCAUCUUUCUUCAGCCUUGACGCUUCUUUCAAAUCAACUAAGUUUUGGAAAUAACUGGAAAGAAAGAAUAAUUGCUUUUCAGCAUCAAACUACUGGAUACCUUCUUAUGGCUAGCAUUAUGUGUUGCUGUGGAAAAAACCCCCACAAAACAGGAAUUGUUAAUAUUCUCCCUUCAAAAUGCAAUUAAUUUUAGUCAUAUUUUUAUUCUGGUCAAACUGUCGCUGAUGCUGUACUUCUUGGUGACUACCUGAAUGCAGUCAUGCAAAAUGAUUGCUGUACCUCUAGUUUUAAGUCAUUGAAGUCCUACAAGCAUGGGGUCCUACAAGUGUUUUAGUAGAAAAUUGAUGGUAAUAAAAUCUUUUGCAAUCUCCAGUGAUUCUGGUUUUGGUCUUCCAAUACUUUGUAUAUUAAUUUCUUGUAACAACAUGCUGUCAAAGAUAAUGGAUUUGGAUAGUGGCGAGGUACAUGUGGCAACAUAUUUCAGAAGCUUUACUGUAUCACAUGUGUAUACUGGGUUUUGGCCUUUAUGCUGUGCAUUAAGAAAAAAGAAAUGAAAGGAAGAAAGAAAUAUUAUCAGAAGUAAAGCACUCUUCAGAAAACCAGGAGUCAGGAUGUGGGGAAGCAAUGAUGAAUCUGAACUACUUGGAUUCAGGUACAAAACUACAAGACGUGUAGGUAUUAACUUUACUUUGGAAACACUAAGCCCUAUUUUUCAGCUUGGAUGUUUGUUGCGACAGAGACUAAAUUACACAUAGAAUCUGUGGGUAACCAAAAACUGUUAUCUUGUGACUCCAAGCUUUUAAUAAUCUGCUUCUUGAAAUAUCUCCCUGUAUGCCAGUUUAGCUAGGAGAGCAUGGAUUUCAUCUUCCCAUGGAGCAAAACAAUGAUAAUGCGUGAAGAUGCUAUUGCCCACCAAAUACCUCUAUAACUAGUCCUGCUUUAGUCUACUUUGUCUUCUGGUGUGCUAAAAGCAAUGUCAGCACAGCCCCAGCUGGGAAAUAAGACAUGAAAUGCUGCCUGUGGAAGGGCUAGGUCUGCUGAUGGGGUACAAUCAGGCUGGCAGGCAUAAUGACACGGUGUUGAAAAUUCUGCAGCAAAACCACACAAACAAAAGGUUCUGGUGGAAGAAAGAUUCAAGAAAACUGAAACACCACUGUCAGUCUAACUCUGUGUCUAAGCCAAACUCAAGCAGGCUAUAGCUUGACGUUAUAUUUCUAGCAUAAAAAAUCCAAACAAAUGAUACAACAAGGAAAAGGGUACUUAAGUUAAAAUGUACAUUUCUCUUUCAAGGGGUAAAUAUAUGCUGGUUAUAUUUUAAAGAUAAUAAUCAAUAUCUCAGCAUUAAGUGCUCAAAGAGGGAUAUUUCACCUAAAUUAGCAGUUUUGCAUAGAAAUUUACUUUUGCCCAGUGCAAAUUGACUUUACAUGAAGACCCAACAUCUGAUGUAACAAAGAUCAGGUGUCUUAGUUUCAAUAAAUGGGGACAACAGAAUGGUCUUCUUCAUAAACUGAUGCAUAGUGCAAAUAUAAUACAAUAGCAUUUAUAUUACUCAUUCUUAUAUUUACGUGCAGUUAAUACACUUGGAUAACUUUGUCAGUAUUAAAUAAUCCUGGUUAUUUACUUUAACUGUGGAGACACUGAUAGUAAAUAUUGUUGUGUAAUAUGUAUAAGUAUUUUGUUUUGCCUAUUUUAUGGCUAUUUGUAGCAGGUACUUUACUACAUGCACUUUUUAAAUAAAAGGAUUAUAAAGAUCUUUAGUGUUUAAAUAAUGUCCUAGAAAAAUAAUCUGGUAAGUGAAAACCUAUACUGAGAGAAAAGUCUAAGACUGUAAUUGCCGUGUAGUCAUUGAAAUUAUUAUGCUGAAAACUAGAAGAACCUGAGUUCACUCUAAACUAGUUAGUUCACUGUAAAAAAGUGGACAAAAAUGUGACUCAGCUUCCAAAAAUCUGGUCUAAAAUGAAUUGUUCUAAUCCAUCUAUGAAUAAGUAUAAACUGUAAAUUAGAAUUGUCCUGAUCUCAAGACGGGAAAGUUCUGGGACAAUUUGGCAUUUGGAAUUCAAGGGCUAAAAAUAUAAUAAGAAUCUCAGGAUCUUAUAAAUCUGCCUUCUGUGAUAUUCAUCAAUAUUGAAUUAACAAAGUUCUAUUCUGUUACCAGACCAGUUGGCUUUGGCAGUUCCCUUCCAUAUAUUCCUGUAGGCAUAAAAGCAAGCCUUAUACUGUUUCUCUGAAAAGAGGCACAAUAACAUAUUCAGUCCUGUUGGAUGAAAAAUUGAAGCCAGGAUCUGUCUGAUGAAAAAUUGAAGACAACAUUUUCUAACCUAAAUGUUCAAAUCCAGACUUUCAGAGGCAGUUCAUACUUGCAGCUUCUGUCUACUAGAAUAUCAAGCCUAGGAUAAUUGUGAAAUGUAAUUCUAGCAAAGUAAAACCACUUAUUAAUUAAUGCAUAACUGACACAUCUACAAACAAAAACAACUGGAACUUUAUGUUUCUCUCCACAGUGAUUAACUCCUACUCCUCUUUAGAAUAGCACCUUAUUAAAAAAAAAAAGAGAAUCAAAGAAGAAUUUCAAGAUACAGAUUUAUAACCCCCAGUGCAUUGUCUGACACAAUUCAUUACUAUUAUUUUUUAUCGUUGCACGUGGUCUUCUAGUGUUUUAUUUUUUGAUGUGCUCAGCUGAAUUUCAAGCUCAUUCUUCAGUGCUUGUACCCUUCAGUCCUGAAGUGGGGGCACCAAGAGGUGGCAAAGCUAGCGCAGAUCCCCAGUUUUGGUGAGGCUGGGAAAAGGCUGCCUAGGAGAGGUGAGGACCAGCAACAGCUUUCAGUUCUGGCUCCUUCUGUGUGGGAGCAGCUGCCAGACAUAUUCAAUUCGUAAUGUAUUAAAGCAGCAAAGUCAAUUUCUUCAGGGAAGGCAUGUCAGAUAGGACCCUUUUCCUUCUUUCUCAACUCCAUUCUCCUCUUUGUAGUGUGGCUCAUUAUAGUAUCUCUGUCAUGUAUAUAGCUUCAUGAUAAGAAUUCAGGAUUGUACCACUUAAACUUCUUAGUACAUAAUUAAGAGUGAAAAAUAACUGUAUAAAAAUAACUAUAUGAAAAUAAUGAGAACAGUAACAUAAAUCAUUGUAAAUAUUAAAUUUGUAUUUAAUUUGAAAAUAAAUGAAUGCAAAAGCCUCUUGAGAAUUUGUGCAACACUGUACCUUCAAGUUAGAUUAAAAUUUGUAUAUGUAUAUUUUUGUAAUGUUGUACGGGCCGCAAACAUCACCAAUGAAGCACAUUGUAAGAACAGCUCAUACAUAGGCCUCCAUGCUGCAAACAUGAUUUUAUGUGCUGGAUUUAUGAACUACCAUUCUUUCACUUUCUAUGCAUCAGAAAAUUCUUUUGAGAGUGUCAAAUCUAAAAUGCUGAAGACUAAAAACAUUUGGGCUCAUCUGAAUUUUUUUUAUUUGACAAAAGGGAAGCACAACAAGGACAUUGUUUAUAAUAGAGUCAUAGAAUCACUAGUUUGGAAAUGAUCUUUGAGGUCAUCAAGCCCAACCUUAUCUGUCCACUACUAAAUCAUAUCCCCAAGCACUUAAUCUACCCAUCUUCUAAACACCUCCAGGGACGGUGACUGAAUCGUCCCUGGGCAGCCUGUUCCAGUGCCCAAUAACCCUUUCAGUGAAGAAGCUUUUCCUAAUGUCCAAUCUGAAUCUCUACUAGUGCAGUUUGAGGCCAUUCCCUCUCGUCCUAUCACCUGUCGCUUGGGAGAAGAGCCAACACCAGCCUCGCUACAACCUCCUUCCAGAUAUUUGUAGACAGUGAUAGAGUCUCCCCUCAGCCUCCUGUCCUGUAGACUAAACAAGCCCAGGUCUCUCAGCUGUUAUUCAUAAGACUUGUUCUCCAGCCCCUCCACCAGAUCUGUUGCUCUUUUCUGGAUAUGCUCAAUGUCUUUUUUGUAAUGAGGGGCCCAGAACUGAACACAGUAUUCAAGGUGCAGCCUAAUCAAUGUCAAGUACAGGGGCAGAAUUAAUUCGGAAAAUGUGUGAGAGUUCAGGAAUUCUAUGUAUUCCAAGGACAAUAAGACGAUCUGGCAAAACUCUUAGCCACUGCACUGAGAAUACAUCUUAGCCUUUGCACUGGGUGUACGUGCAGUUGGAAACAAGAAGGCACAACUCGCAGAUCCAUAUUGCAAUGAUAGUCUCGCAUUUUGAGCAUCCAAACAUCUUAGCACAACUCAGACACUCAAGGAUGGUACAUUACAUUUUGUCACUAUGUCAUUAUUACCAAAAAAAUCAGGUCCACUAGGUUAGGACUAGCAUGUUGUAAAUGCAUGCUCCAAACCACUGCUUUCUGACUUCCUGAAUAGAUUAGCACUGAGUCAAAAACAUUGAGUAAACAAAGCACUGAGUAAACAAAGCUGUUCUUCACAAGAGCAGAACAAAUACGCUCUGAGAGCUUUUCAGUCACUGGUAUACGAAGAAGACCUCUUUUAUGCUCAUGACAAGUGAGGAGUUACCUGCUCAAACAAGUAGUCCUACCCCUUUACUAAAUUGGGCAAACCAGGAUCUUCACAUACGCUGGUUAUAACAAUGUGGUUUAAAUUAGGAUAUACAAGGUCAAGAGUCUGGAUGGAAACUGAUCUGGGAAAAAGGGAGGAGAAGAGGGAAGGUGCUCUUAGAUUUUUUAUUAUUUGUCAUUAACCUACUCUGUUUCA